GGAUCCACCACCCCCAAAUAAUUUAAUUCCACUCUCCAACUUAGCUAAAAAAGAGGACUGAAAAGCAAAAGGUGAAAAGGGGAUUUCUUGAAAACCCACCUCUGGUGCAGAGAUCUUUCUUUCCUUUCUUCUUUUUUUCUCUUUUCUUUCAUUUCUCGUCACCUCUCAACAUUCCCACCUUCUCUUCCACUGGGAGUGUUACUCGUAGGUCUGCUUGUGGGUUUCUGCUCUUUAGCCACCUUGAUUGCUUCAGCUAUUGAUUUCAGACAGUUUUUUUUUUUUCUGUAUUGUCUUUGCAAAGAAGGCUUACCGUCGUAGCGUAGCCUUAUUGGGCUUGUGUGUUGCCCCUCUUUUGUAAUCUCUUUUUGUCUUUGCUUCUUUUUCCCUUCUUAAUUCUCAUUUGGUUUACUUUGGGUGUUGUUUAGUUUGGCUCUUCUCUCUUUUGCCAGUUUUCUGGGCCCUUUUGCUGUCUUUUCCUGGGUUACUCUUCUGUGUUUUUGAUGCUUUUGGUGGUUCCUUCUUCCUGGUAUCGUUGUAUUUGCUUCUUUCUGCUGCAUUUUUUCCGUUGUUGGUUCUUGUUGUGAAAGAGUUUCUUGAGUUUUCCAUUUUCUGAGGGUCAGUUCUUGCCAUGGGUCUGUGUCAUGGAAAACCCAUUACAGACCCACCAAAUCACACUGAAAAUGUUGAGAAUUCGGAGAGCAAUGUGCCCAAAUUGGAGGUGGGAACGAAGUUGGAUAGUCAAGCAGGCAAACCUGCAAAGAUCCCACUCUAUAGCCCAAGCCCUUUGUACAGCUUCUUCAAGAAUUCGCCGCCGUAUUCGACCCCGACUUCAACCGCCAAUUCGACGCCCAGCCGGUUCUUCAAGCGGCCUUUCCCGCCACCGUCUCCGGCGAAGCAUAUCAAGGCGUUGCUCGCUCGUAGGCAUGGAUCUGUAAAGCCCAACGCACCAUCAAUCCCGGAGGGAAGUGAAUGCGAGUUGGGUUUGGACAAGAGUUUUGGGUUCUCAAAGCAGUUUGAUUCGAAGUAUGAACUCGGGGAAGAAGUGGGUCGCGGUCAUUUUGGCUUCACUUGCACUGCUAAGGUCAAAAAGGGUGAGUUGAAGGGGCAGGAGGUUGCUGUUAAAGUCAUUCCUAAAGCAAAGAUGACCACAGCGAUUGCCAUAGAGGAUGUCCGAAGGGAGGUGAAAAUUCUUAGUGCUUUAACAGGACACAAGAAUCUGGUGCAAUUUUAUGAGGCCUUUGAAGACCAGGAAAAUGUAUACAUAGUGAUGGAGCUAUGCAAAGGAGGUGAGCUUCUAGAUAGGAUAUUGUCCAGGGGAGGAAAAUACUCUGAAGAUGAUGCUAAGGCUGUGAUGGUCCAGAUUCUGAGCGUUGCAUCCUUUUGUCAUCUCCAAGGUGUAGUUCAUCGGGAUCUUAAGCCAGAGAAUUUCCUCUUCACUUUGAAGGAUGAGAAUUCACAACUGAAGGCCAUAGAUUUUGGCUUGUCUGAUUUUGUCAAACCAGAUGAGCGACUCAAUGAUAUCGUGGGAAGUGCAUAUUAUGUUGCUCCUGAGGUUCUGCAUAGAUCCUAUGGCACGGAGGCCGAUAUGUGGAGUAUUGGUGUUAUUGCCUACAUUCUUCUGUGUGGCAGCCGCCCUUUUUGGGCACGAACUGAAUCCGGUAUCUUUCGAGCCGUGCUGAAGGCGGACCCAAGUUUUGAUGAAGCACCUUGGCCUUCUCUUUCUCCUGAGGCAAAGGAUUUUGUCAAGAGACUUCUGAAUAAAGAUGCACGUAAAAGAAUGACUGCUGCUCAGGCGUUAUGUCAUCCCUGGAUAAGGAGCUGCCAGGACAGUAAGAUCCCACUUGACAUCCUAGUGAUCAGACUUGUGAAAUCAUAUUUGUGUUCAUCAUCUCUAAGAAAGGCUGCUUUAAAGGCCCUUGCAAAGACGUUGUCAGAAGAUCAGCUUAUGUAUUUAAGGGAACAAUUUAAUUUAUUAGGUCCAAACAAGAGUGAUUUCAUUUGUCUGCAGAACUUCAGGACGGCCUUGAUGAAGUACUCUACUAGCGCAAUGAAGGACUCUCGAGUUCAUGAUUUUGUCAAUAUGGUGAGUUCUCUACAAUACAGAAAAAUGGAUUUUGAGGAAUUUUGUGCCGCUGCCAUUAGUGUGCAUCAGAUGGAAGCUUUGGAUAGUUGGGAGCAGCAUGCGUUUCAAGCAUAUGAAUUAUUUGAGAAGGAUGGAAAUAGAGCAAUUGUUAUCGAGGAGCUUGCAUCAGAACUUGGGCUUGGACCAUCAGUUCCAGUGCAUGCCGUUCUUCAUGACUGGAUCAGGCACUCCGAUGGAAAACUCAGUUUCAUGGGAUUUGUCCGGCUUCUCCAUGGUGUAUCUUCGCGUUUGGUAUCAAAGGUGCAAACAGCUUGAAGAAUUUUUGGAUACUCAUUUUUUCUAUUCAAACCUCCGUUUGGUGACCUAAGUGGAGCCAACAUGCCUGUUUACCGUGACACAAGUGGACAAGAAGUCAGUUACUGCACUCCCAAGCCAGGAAUAAGGGCUUUAACUUGUUUCCACUUGUUGUGUGCACUUUUUGACACUGCCUGUGAUGGAGAUUGAGAUGAUGAUGUACAGAUGUACUAACAAUCACUAAAAGCAGUGAACAAGAAGUGUUUGGUUGGUGAGCAUGGGAUGAAACCUUCCACUGGGUCGUUGUACAAUAGCUCAGAACCUGCCUUCUGCACCCUGUCUUUUUUUUUUUUUUUAUGUGCUUUAGAUGCAUAAUGUACAGAGGUAUUUCUACCUUUAUGUUUGCACUAUCCGGAGCUUGCUCAUGACAGUAAAUGUACAAACCAUGGCGACAACCUAUUCAAAUUCUUGAUGCUGGAAAUUUCAAAUGUACUUCAAUAUUUUUGUUGA